rnacentral:RNase_P_RNA from 1 species
GGAGCCGGCCAGACAGCCGCUCCGCGCCCUCAAGGCGCGGGGAGGAAAGUCCGGGCUCCAUAGGGCAAGGCGCCAGGUAACGCCUGGGAGGCGCAAGCCUACGGAAAGUGCCACAGAAAAUACACCGCCUACGCCUGCACCCCCUGCAGGCCGGCAAGGGUGAAAUGGUGCGGUAAGAGCGCACCGCGCCUCUGGCAACAGAGGCGGCAGGGCAAACCCCGCCUGGAGCAAGACCAAAUAGGGAAACAUGGGUGCGGCCCGCACUGUUUCCGGGUAGGUUGCUUGAGGUGCGCGGCGACGCGCAUCCCAGAGGAAUGGCUGUCCACGACAGAACCCGGCUUACCGGCCGGCUCCCACA